CCCGGCGUAGCUCAGUCUGGUAGAGCGGUCGGCUGUAGACCGACUGGUCGCUGGUUCAAAUCCGGCCGCCGGGA
rnacentral:tRNA from 1 species